rnacentral:lncRNA from 1 species
CUCGUGCCUACUGGACCACUGCCGUGCAUUUAUGUGGCUGUGCCCCCCAGCAGACGGAGCAGGGGCAGGGGCAGACCGGAGGCAAGGCCUUCAAGAUCCUAGGACCGAGCACGGAGAAGGAAAGAGUCUGCAUAGCUCAUCACAGCCUCCCCAGACCCCACAGAAUGAACAUUAUCAACCCCAUUUUCCAGCCGAGGGAGCUAGGAUCAGAGAGGAAGUGACACCCAGCCACACAGCAAAGAAUGUGGCAGUGCCAGCAUUCAAGCCAGGCAUCGGGCACCUACAGCCAGUGCUCUCAUCUGCUCUGGCAUGCUGCUUCCCGACGACCUCGCGAGGCAUGUUCUCCCAUUCCACAGAUGAGGAAAAGUGAGGAGAGAUGAGCACUUUGCCCACAGCCACUAGCAGGUAAGGUGGGGAGCCCAGGCCAGCACGCCUCCUGGGCGGAGACCGAGGGCUCCUGCCAUGCCUAAAGAGACAUGCGGACAAGUGCCAAGCUCCAUUCCUCCAGGUUGGGAUCCUGGCUGGGCCUUCCAGUAAUUAGUGGGCUCUUGUUAAGACCCAGUCGCGCCAUUCUCGGGCCAGGACUUGUUUUUGUUCCCAUGCGGAGGCCCUCGCAGGAAGGCCGGGCGCACGUGCGCAGCCCCAUAAAUCCAGCCGGCGUCGCUCAUUACAACGUUCCGCUUCACGACUCACCGGCCCCAGCCCGAGCGGGCUUCGCGGGGCAGGCAGGCCUCCCGGCAGCGGGUUCUGCUGCCUCGAGCCGCCCGCAGCCUCAGACAUGAGCUCAUCCAGCACGCGGCGUGGGAGGAAGUGGCCGGGCGCGCCCCCGGCAGCAAGGGGACAAUGUGCCUAUUAAGGGCCGCCAGGCCCUGCCGCCCACCCUGCGCCGCAGAGGCAGGACCACCCCACUCUGGACCCUGC